rnacentral:rRNA from 1 species
AAGACCUUGCGCUUUUGGAGCGGCCGAUGCCUGAUUAGCUUGUUGGUAAGGUAAAAGCUUACCAAGGCUUCGAUCAGUAGCUGGUCUGAGAGGACGGCCAGCCACACUGGGACUGAGACACGGCCCAGACUCCUACGGGAGGCAGCAGUGGGGAAUUUUGGACAAUGGGGGCAACCCUGAUCCAGCCAUGCCGCGUGAGUGAAGAAGGCCUUCGGGUUGUAAGGCUCUUUCAGCCGGAACGAAACGGUUACGGUUAAUACCCGUGAUUACUGACGGUACCGGAAGAAGAAGCACCGGCUAACUACGUGCCAGCAGCCGCGGUAAUACGUAGGGUGCGAGCGUUAAUCGGAAUUACUGGGCGUAAAGCGUGCGCAGGUGGUUUUGUAAGUCAGAUGUGAAAGCCCCGGGCUCAACCUGGGAACU